AGGUUGGGAAAACUGGAUAGACACAUGAAAAGAAUUGUCAAACUCCUAGUAGAAAACAUAGACUGAAAGAGACAACAGAAGAAACAAAGAAACUUUUCAGGAUACUAUGCCAAUAUACCAAGCAAGAGUUCAUGAUGCUCAGAGGAGGCUGGGACGCACAGAGGUACUUCCAAAUAAAAGGCACUUAAUAAAUAUCUGUUGGAUGACAGGAA